rnacentral:sRNA from 1 species
GGAAAAAUAGAGGAGGAAGGAAAGAAAACUAGCUAUUUUUCAUGAUCUGUCCUGAGAAAAUAUUUCUAAACUCACCCUACAAACUGCUGUCUAUAACACCAUUGGAGUCAAAUGGGCCCCUUUCAGACAGGGAAAUUCACAGCUGCUGGCUGUGGCAUGCAGGGCACGCAGCCAGGGACACCUAAGAGCAAGUGCUUGCCUCUCUCUCUCACCCAGAAUGAUGAUGCAGGAAUGACAAAGGGAGAUACUGGGGAAUGUCAAGUCAAACAAAUCAUAGCUCUUCUCCGGUGGCUCCUGUGACCUUGUUCUGAGGUAAGGCACACAGGCGGGAGGGACAUUCAGGAUAAGCAAUGUUUGUCAUCUGAGGCUUCUAUCUGCUCCAAACGGAACUUUAAAUCUCCCUUAUGGAGGCAUUGACAUUUAGUUUGGCACAUUUUCAGAUACUAGGGGAAAAAAAAAACAUGACUUGACAAGAAAAAAAGUCAAGUUAAUACACAGGAAAAGGAGGCCAUUAUUUCCAUAGUUCAGCAUCUAAUUUACAUAGAAGCAUGCAAACACGCGUUUUUGGACACUAGAAUUUCUAUUGUUUUAAAUUACUGUUUUUUUCUGUCACUGAGUCAAGGAAGAUAACUGUGGCUUUUACAAAUCCCAAAUCAAGUAAAAUUAGGUUCCCCAUUGCUACAUCCAGAAUCAAUCAAUCUUUCUUUCUUUCUUUCUUUCUUUCUUUCUUUCUUUCUUUCUUUCUUUCUAUCUUCCUUCCUUCCUCCCUUCCUCCAUCCCUCCCUCCCUUCCUUCUUUCCUUCCCGUGCUUAUUUUCAAUCAUAUGAGGUUUUUAUCUAAAAGUCGCUGAGUUGACCUGUCUCAUAUUAAGCUUUAUCGCCUGCAAAGAUGAAGGAGGCGGUCGUCCAGGGAAGUAUUAGCAUUCUUCUUAGGGUGGUUAUAAAUAUUAAAUUGGGCACAUGCUUAUCUGAUAAACUUUACUAUACAUAGACCAAGUUUCGAUUAGGGCAGGGGCAGGGGUAUUAUUUUAUAUGACAAACUGAUCCAGCUCUUUCCCCAAAUUAAAACAUGAGGACUCCUGAGGGACUGUGUGCACACACAUGCCUUUAAGGAGAGAGACUUUAUAAUCGAUAGGCUCGCUGAAAGUUUAUUUUUGUCCCCGUUAGAAAGAGCGUCUAAUUCUGCCCCCCCCCAACCAAUGCGCACACUUCGCUCCAGCCUGAACAUCCUGUGACUUCAGUAGUCCUGACAUUUUAAGGUGGUAUUUGAUCCUUCCAAAUCUUUGAAGAUCAUUUUUCUGCAGACUCUUCACCAUCCCACCUUUAAAGAUAAAAGGCCAGUCUGUGAAGGAGAUCAGGUCGAAGAAAGUUCAGUUUUGUAAUUCCAGCAACAGGACACUUCCCUCACUGACUGUCUCCCACAUAUCAGUUAUUUGAGACAGACUUUUUUAUUUGUUUGUUUGUUUUUCUUUUUUAGAAGAAAGAGAGGUCUGGUGUCAAAAGUGCUGCCAAACAUCCCCAAAUCACAGAGUCUCUUAACUCCGACAGGUUAAGAAAAGACAGUUUGCCUUCAUACCUUCAGCUUUCCUUAUUAACUUUGACCUCGGCCUUUUCUCAGUCAGCUGCUUACACAGGCAUUUCACACAGGAGAAGUGAAGGAAAUUCCAGAAGAAAAGCAAGCAGCAUAAAAACGACUUUUUACGGAAAGUUCAACAACCUCCAGAGAGAUCGAGUAUGGCAUGCUGAAGGAGCUGACUUCAUUUAUUAAAUGCACUUCCCGAUGUGUUAAGUAACUCGUUCUUCUAAGUGCACAGGGUUUGUAUUACUCUUCUCUCUGCUGCCUCCUUCCCCUCUGUAGGAUUUAUGAUGUUUUCCUGACAGGCUCCAUGUGCCUGAGGCCCAUUAGGUAGGACUGAGGUCUCACCUUUUCUAAGUCCAGAAGUCAUCCUGAGGAAGUGCUAUUACUUCAUGUGUAAAACUGCAAAACACACACAGAAUCACUUGGAACAGAAACUCUUUCUGUCAAGGGUUGCUCUUCCUCCAAAGUUUCUUCUCUGAAAACUUAUUACUAUUAUUAUUAAUUACUAUUAUUAGUUUUGCUGAUUUGAUUAUGCUCUACUGAAGGUAGUUAGAAAAUGAUAUAAAAUAGGAAAUAUUGUUGCUUGCAAAACAGUGUCAAAGGCCAACAGAUAAACCUUCAAAUUCAUCUGCAGCACAUGUCAAUUAGAUGCUGUCCAGAAAAUAGGGCAAGCAACAGGACUUCUUCCUCUGUUCAAAGUGUCAGUCCAAUUCAGUUUCAACCCAGAAUGUGUUUUAGGUCUGAGGUAAUAGGCCUACCUCAUUUCUUCCAUAGAUUUUGUCUGGAGGAGCGACCAACUGGAUCCACUUCAACUCUGGAGAUCACUACAUGCCACCACAUACUAUAUUGUUGGCCACGAGCAGCACUGAAUCUUCACGUGUAGCUUCUUACACUGUCAUGCCCCAUAGUACCCACAGCUAAAUCUAUACUUUCCAGCAAAGAACACAAGCCUGCAAUUGCCCUUACAGUUUCAAAGCUUAGCUUUGCAGGUAAUUGGGGAAAGUUAGUUAUGUUCUCCGUGCACAAGUUAAUUCAUUCCCACUAAAACAAUUACAGCAUUGACUGUGUCAUGAGUCUGUGAGGAUUGUAUAGUUCACAUGAAGCUGCUUAGGAACAUGUAAGCAUUCAUGUGUGCAUAAUUAUACAUUACUGUACUUUUAUUUUCAUUAUUUUUAUUGUACAAAUGUAAAUUUCUUUCUUCAUAUCAUAGAGAAUUGACACAGCAACAUUAACUUGAUUUAAUUAGCUCAUAAAAUCUGGACUUGCCAAGCUGGUCAACUGAGGCCACUUUUGGGAACCCAGAGGAAGAAGCCUAACCUCUUAGGUUAUUUCCUGGCCUCCCUUCUGUGACCUAUGACCGAAGCUGACCUUUAGCUGGAGAAUGUGACAUUUUGUUCUCCUCUAGCUGACAUGUGAUGCUCUCAUUAUUCAAAGAGCCAUCUUGGGAACAGUUCCAAACUGUGGAGAACAGAAGUUUCGACUGCUUGACUGAAGUGUUAACGUCAUCCAGUCUGAGAUUUCAUAACUUUACAAACAAGAGGCCGAGGCCUCAGUGGAGUCACCAGUGGCCGUCUUAAUUACAGCAUCAACAAAUGAGCAUUUCAGCAAAAACACGCAACCUUCUUGGUGCAGGUUCAGCUAAAGUUUCUCAUUCUGAAGCUGUCGUUUCCUCUCUACUUUCACCUCCUCAUUCUUGGGAAAAAAAGUAGUUUCCCCAUUACAGUCUUUUUUUUAAAAGUAUAGUUAAAAAAUAAAAUAAUAUCUUGGGUCCUGUGGAUCUUUUCUCAUGAAUGACUUAGUUAGCUGUUUAAGCUUGUGUCAAGAUAAUAUCCUCGAAAUUUGCUGAAAUAACCAUUCUCUUUCAGGUCAUGAUGUCUGUGAUUAGUUUCAAAGAGGCUAGGGCAUAUGUCAAUGCUGUAGGAAAUGUGUUGUUUAUGCCCCAAGAAGCUGUAUCUUCUCCUGAGUGCUACCUUCCCCGUGAAGAGAUGAGUUGAUUUCUGAAUUGUAAAACAAUGCCAUAUGGGAUAUAGGUUCAACAAAUAUUUGAAUGGAAGCUUUAUACAGAGAACUCCAGUGGUGAUAAAAUAGUGAGUCCUGCACCUGGCCUUCAACAAAGAUGUGUCCUUACCAAGAGCACACUGAAAUGUCUAACUCCUGAAAGAAUGUUUUGCAAGUUUUAGAGUUUGACAAGAUAUGGUGACUCGAGCCUGCAACACCAGGUCUUGGGUGGCCAAGGUGAAAGGAUAGCUUUAAUUUCAGGGCUGACCUGAGCUAGAUAGCAGGGUUCUGUUUCAAAACAAAAGCCGUGUGGAUCCCCCACCAAAGAAAAGCCUCAAUGUAAAUCUGCUUUCAUAAUUUUAAUAACUCUAUCCAAUCAAUUCUGAUGUUCUGUUCAUAGAUGAGUUCUUAGCUUACAUAUAAAAUAUCUUUCCUGUGUCAUUUUUAUGCCUAAUUGGUGUAUAACAUCCACUGAACAUCAAAAUAAAUGUUAUAAGUCAUUG